ACGCUGGCGGCAGGCCUAACACAUGCAAGUCGAGCGGUAGAGAGAAGCUUGCUUCUCUUGAGAGCGGCGGACGGGUGAGUAAUGCCUAGGAAUCUGCCUGGUAGUGGGGGAUAACGUUCGGAAACGGACGCUAAUACCGCAUACGUCCUACGGGAGAAAGCAGGGGACCUUCGGGCCUUGCGCUAUCAGAUGAGCCUAGGUCGGAUUAGCUAGUUGGUGAGGUAAUGGCUCACCAAGGCGACGAUCCGUAACUGGUCUGAGAGGAUGAUCAGUCACACUGGAACUGAGACACGGUCCAGACUCCUACGGGAGGCAGCAGUGGGGAAUAUUGGACAAUGGGCGAAAGCCUGAUCCAGCCAUGCCGCGUGUGUGAAGAAGGUCUUCGGAUUGUAAAGCACUUUAAGUUGGGAAGAAGGGCAGUAAAUUAAUACUUUGCUGUUUUGACGUUACCGACAGAAUAAGCACCGGCUAACUCUGUGCCAGCAGCCGCGGUAAUACAGAGGGUGCAAGCGUUAAUCGGAAUUACUGGGCGUAAAGCGCGCGUAGGUGGUUUGUUAAGUUGGAUGUGAAAUCCCCGGGCUCAACCUGGGAACUGCAUUCAAAACUGACAAGCUAGAGUAUGGUAGAGGGUGGUGGAAUUUCCUGUGUAGCGGUGAAAUGCGUAGAUAUAGGAAGGAACACCAGUGGCGAAGGCGACCACCUGGACUGAUACUGACACUGAGGUGCGAAAGCGUGGGGAGCAAAC
rnacentral:rRNA from 1 species